rnacentral:tRNA from 1 species
GCCUGGAUGGCUCAGUAGUUGAGCGUCUGCCUUCGGCUCAGGUCGUGAUCCCAGGACCUUGGGAUCAAGUCCCACAUCAGGCU